GACGAACGCUGGCGGCGUGCCUAAUACAUGCAAGUAGAACGCUGAAGAGAGGAGCUUGCUCUUCUUGGAUGAGUUGCGAACGGGUGAGUAACGCGUAGGUAACCUGCCUUGUAGCGGGGGAUAACUAUUGGAAACGAUAGCUAAUACCGCAUAACAAUGGAUGACACAUGUCAUUUAUUUGAAAGGGGCAAUUGCUCCACUACAAGAUGGACCUGCGUUGUAUUAGCUAGUAGGUGAGGUAAUGGCUCACCUAGGCGACGAUACAUAGCCGACCUGAGAGGGUGGUCGGCCGCACUGGGACGGAGACACGGCCCAGACGCCUACAGGAGGCAGCAGUAGGGAAUCUUCGGCAAUGGGGGCAAACCUGACCGAGCAACGCCGCGUGAGGGAAGAAGGUUGUCGGAUCGUAGAGCUCUGUUGUAAGUCAAGAACGGGUGUGAGAGUGGAAAGUUCACACUGUGACGGUAGCUGACCAGAAAGGGACGGCUAACUACGUG
rnacentral:rRNA from 1 species